rnacentral:rRNA from 1 species
AACGAACGCUGGCGGCAGGCCUAACACAUGCAAGUCGAGCGAAGCCUUCGGGCUUAGCGGCGGACGGGUGAGUAACGCGUGGGAACGUGCCCUUUGGUACGGAAUAGCCCCGGGAAACUGGGAGUAAUACCGUAUGUGGUCGAGAGACGAAAGAUUUAUCGCCAAAGGAUCGGCCCGCGUUGGAUUAGGUAGUUGGUGGGGUAAUGGCCUACCAAGCAGACGAUCCAUAGCUGGUUGGAGAGGAUGAUCAGCCACGCUGGGACUGAGACACGGACCGGACUCCUACGGGAGGCAGCAGUGUGGAAUCUUAGACAAUGGGGGGAACCCUGAUCUAGCCAUGCCGCGUGAUCGAUGAAGGCCUUAGGGUUGUAAAGAUCUUUCAGUGGGGAAGAUAAUGACUGUACCCACAGAAGAAGCCCCGGCUAACUCCGUGCCAGCCGCCGCCGUAACAC